rnacentral:rRNA from 1 species
UGGGGAAUAUUGCACAAUGGGCGCAAGCCUGAUGCAGCGACGCCGCGUGAGGGAUGACGGCCUUCGGGUUGUAAACCUCUUUCGCCAGGGACGAAGCGCAAGUGACGGUACCUGGAGAAGAAGGACCGGCCAACUACGUGCCAGCAGCCGCGGUAAUACGUAGGGUCCGAGCGUUGUCCGGAAUUACUGGGCGUAAAGAGCUCGUAGGUGGUUUGUCGCGUUGUUCGUGAAAACUCACAGCUUAACUGUGGGCGUGCGGGCGAUACGGGCAGACUGGAGUACUGCAGGGGAGACUGGAAUUCCUGGUGUAGCGGUGGAAUGCGCAGAUAUCAGGAGGAACACCGGUGGCGAAGGCGGGUCUCUGGGCAGUAACUGACGCUGAGGAGCGAAAGCGUGGGGAGCGAACA